AAGCGUUUGAAGUCAGUCGCGUCUGGCGGGAUUCAGCCUGGCUUCUGCCUGGUGUACUUUCCGUCCGACGGGUCAGCAUCGGUUUCGACCGAGAGAGAAAGGCUCGGGGAACGUGGCUGCCUUCGGGCAGUGUUAUAGCCCCUUGUCGUAUGUCUCGGUUGGGACCGAGGACUGCAGCGCGCCUCACGGCCGGGGUUCGCCCUCGGUACGCGCUUAGGAUGCUGGCGUAAUGGCUUUAAGCG
rnacentral:rRNA from 1 species